rnacentral:rRNA from 3 species
GUUAUAUGGUCAAGUGAAGAAGCGCAUACGGUGGAUGCCUUGGCAGUCAGAGGCGAUGAAAGACGUGGUAGCCUGCGAAAAGCUUCGGGGAGUCGGCAAACAGACUUUGAUCCGGAGAUCUCUGAAUGGGGGAACCCACCUAGGAUAACCUAGGUAUCUUGUACUGAAUCCAUAGGUGCAAGAGGCGAACCAGGGGAACUGAAACAUCUAAGUACCCUGAGGAAAAGAAAUCAACCGAGAUUCCCUUAGUAGUGGCGAGCGAACGGGGAUUAGCCCUUAAGCUUCAUUGAUUUUAGCGGAACGCUCUGGAAAGUGCGGCCAUAGUGGGUGAUAGCCCCGUACGCGAAAGGAUCUUUGAAGUGAAAUCGAGUAGGACGGAGCACGAGAAACUUUGUCUGAACAUGGGGGGACCAUCCUCCAAGGCUAAAUACUACUGACUGACCGAUAGUGAACCAGUACCGUGAGGGAAAGGCGAAAAGAACCCCGGAGAGGGGAGUGAAAUAGAACCUGAAACCGUAUGCGUACAAGCAGUGGGAGCCUACUUGUUAGGUGACUGCGUACCUUUUGUAUAAUGGGUCAGCGACUUAUAUUCAGUGGCAAGCUUAACCGUAUAGGGUAGGCGUAGCGAAAGCGAGUCUUAAUAGGGCGUUUAGUCGCUGGGUAUAGACCCGAAACCGGGCGAUCUAUCCAUGAGCAGGUUGAAGGUUAGGUAACACUGACUGGAGGACCGAACCCACUCCCGUUGAAAAGGUAGGGGAUGACUUGUGGAUCGGAGUGAAAGGCUAAUCAAGCUCGGAGAUAGCUGGUUCUCCUCGAAAGCUAUUUAGGUAGCGCCUCAUGUAUCACUCUGGGGGGUAGAGCACUGUUUCGGCUAGGGGGUCAUCCCGACUUACCAAACCGAUGCAAACUCCGAAUACCCAGAAGUGCCGAGCAUGGGAGACACACGGCGGGUGCUAACGUCCGUCGUGAAAAGGGAAACAACCCAGACCGCCAGCUAAGGUCCCAAAGUUGUGGUUAAGUGGUAAACGAUGUGGGAAGGCUUAGACAGCUAGGAGGUUGGCUUAGAAGCAGCCAUCCUUUAAAGAAAGCGUAAUAGCUCACUAGUCGAGUCGGCCUGCGCGGAAGAUGUAACGGGGCUCAAACCACACACCGAAGCUGCGGGUGUCACGUAAGUGACGCGGUAGAGGAGCGUUCUGUAAGCCUGUGAAGGUGAGUUGAGAAGCUUGCUGGAGGUAUCAGAAGUGCGAAUGCUGACAUGAGUAACGACAAUGGGUGUGAAAAACACCCACGCCGAAAGACCAAGGGUUCCUGCGCAACGUUAAUCGACGCAGGGUUAGUCGGUUCCUAAGGCGAGGCUGAAAAGCGUAGUCGAUGGGAAACAGGUUAAUAUUCCUGUACUUCUGGUUACUGCGAUGGAGGGACGGAGAAGGCUAGGCCAGCUUGGCGUUGGUUGUCCAAGUUUAAGGUGGUAGGCUGAAAUCUUAGGUAAAUCCGGGGUUUCAAGGCCGAGAGCUGAUGACGAGUCGUCUUUUAGAUGACGAAGUGGUUGAUGCCAUGCUUCCAAGAAAAGCUUCUAAGCUUCAGGUAACCAGGAACCGUACCCCAAACCGACACAGGUGGUCGGGUAGAGAAUACCAAGGCGCUUGAGAGAACUCGGGUGAAGGAACUAGGCAAAAUGGCACCGUAACUUCGGGAGAAGGUGCGCCGGCUAGGGUGAAGGAUUUACUCCGUAAGCUCUGGCUGGUCGAAGAUACCAGGCCGCUGCGACUGUUUAUUAAAAACACAGCACUCUGCAAACACGAAAGUGGACGUAUAGGGUGUGACGCCUGCCCGGUGCCGGAAGGUUAAUUGAUGGGGUUAGCGCAAGCGAAGCUCUUGAUCGAAGCCCCGGUAAACGGCGGCCGUAACUAUAACGGUCCUAAGGUAGCGAAAUUCCUUGUCGGGUAAGUUCCGACCUGCACGAAUGGCGUAACGAUGGCGGCGCUGUCUCCACCCGAGACUCAGUGAAAUUGAAAUCGCUGUGAAGAUGCAGUGUAUCCGCGGCUAGACGGAAAGACCCCGUGAACCUUUACUGUAGCUUUGCACUGGACUUUGAGCCUGCUUGUGUAGGAUAGGUGGGAGGCUUUGAAGCGUGGACGCCAGUUCGCGUGGAGCCAUCCUUGAAAUACCACCCUGGCAUGCUUGAGGUUCUAACUCUGGUCCGUAAUCCGGAUCGAGGACAGUGUAUGGUGGGCAGUUUGACUGGGGCGGUCUCCUCCUAAAGAGUAACGGAGGAGUACGAAGGUGCGCUCAGACCGGUCGGAAAUCGGUCGCAGAGUAUAAAGGCAAAAGCGCGCUUGACUGCGAGACAGACACGUCGAGCAGGUACGAAAGUAGGUCUUAGUGAUCCGGUGGUUCUGUAUGGAAGGGCCAUCGCUCAACGGAUAAAAGGUACUCCGGGGAUAACAGGCUGAUACCGCCCAAGAGUUCAUAUCGACGGCGGUGUUUGGCACCUCGAUGUCGGCUCAUCACAUCCUGGGGCUGAAGCCGGUCCCAAGGGUAUGGCUGUUCGCCAUUUAAAGUGGUACGCGAGCUGGGUUUAGAACGUCGUGAGACAGUUCGGUCCCUAUCUGCCGUGGACGUUUGAGAUUUGAGAGGGGCUGCUCCUAGUACGAGAGGACCGGAGUGGACGAACCUCUGGUGUUCCGGUUGUCACGCCAGUGGCAUUGCCGGGUAGCUAUGUUCGGAAAAGAUAACCGCUGAAAGCAUCUAAGCGGGAAACUUGCCUCAAGAUGAGAUCUCACUGGGAACUUGAUUCCCCUGAAGGGCCGUCGAAGACUACGACGUUGAUAGGCUGGGUGUGUAAGCGUUGUGAGGCGUUGAGCUAACCAGUACUAAUUGCCCGUGAGGCUUGACCAUAUAACACCCAAACA